GAUGAACGCUAGCGACAGGCUUAACACAUGCAAGUCGAGGGGCAGCAUGGAGGUAGCAAUACUUCUGAUGGCGACCGGCGCACUGGUGAGUAACACGUAUGCAACCUGCCCCUGGUUGGGGGAUAACCCGCGGAAACGCGGCCUAAUACCCCGUAUGCGCCGAGGCCGCAUGACUUCGGCGUGAUAGAACUUCGUCCAGGGAUGGGCAUGCGGCGCAUUAGCUUGUUGGCGGGGCAACGGCCCACCAAGGCGACGAUGCGUAGGGGUUCUGAGAGGAAGGUCCCCCACACUGGUACUGAGACACGGACCAGACUCC
rnacentral:rRNA from 1 species